UUUCUUUCCGACGGGGCUUUUGCAGCCGCACUUGGCCCCACUGAGUUGUCUCUCCUCACUCGGAGUGCUUCAGCGGCGCAAAGGUCGACCAUGAAAGCUACGCGUCUUCUUUUUCAGUCCGACCGGCGUACGCGUCACCACAUGAUGAUCGAUGGUGAAAUCAACCCAAGGGAGUGGUUGAACUGGCACCCGAAGGAGUACCAGCCGUGGUACUUUGAUCGCCAUAAGUUCCUCUACGAGCAGGGCCAGUAUGCCGCCUAUAAUCACCUGCUGUGCCAUCAAGCCUAUCUCAAAGACAUUGAGCAUCUCACGCGAUAUCCUGAACCGCUCACGUUCAUCAUCGACUGCCGUAUGUCGCCUGCAAAAAUGCAUCGCUGGAUACCGAACAGCAUGUGGCUCCCGCGCGAUGAGGUCGAGUACGCCCUGCAGCUCACGAAUGACGAGUUCCAGGAAAUGUACGGCUUCACAAAGCCCGCCAAGGAUGACGACGUCAUACUGAUCUCGCACAACGGUCUGGCCUCUGAGCAGGCCGGCUGGGAGUGGCGCAAGCAGUACUACCAACACGUGUACAACUACCGCGGCGGCACGAAUGAGCUCUUCGGGGAGGACUACCAGGACUUUAUCCUUAAGGAUCGGUUAGAUCCCUGGAAGGGGCCGUACCCACAAAAGAGCAUUUUUGUAGAUAAGUGGAGCAAGCGCAAGGUGCUGACGCGCACUGGACCGUUUGACCGCCAGUACGAGAUGCAGGAUUUUGCUUUGCCCGACUUGGAGCUGGAGAGGCCGCGACACUCAGAGGAUGGCCCGCGCCAGAACAUGCCGUACGGUCUACAAUAAUGCCGAACUUAGCUCGAUGUUGCGCCGGUUUAGAGAAGCACGGCUGCAUAUCGAGGGCUUGAGAAGGCCAUAUAGGAAGAUGCUUCCAGGCUGACCAUGGCCUUCUGCUUUGUACUGCCACUCCUGCUCUCGGACGCACGAUCCGCUUUCCUAACACCUGUGAUGCUGAUUCUCUUUAUAGACUUUCGGCUGUGAAGGCACGCGUGUCUCUCCAACGGUGCGUGUGCGAUUGAUAUAGGCUCUACUUCUUUUUCGGGGCAAUGUGGCAUUAUACCGCGUGCAAGCCAGCAAAGGCACACGCAUGCACAGUUGCAGCCCACGCACCCACUGCCGCGCUGCGGCGACGUCCUGGCCGUCUAGGAGCAACCGUCAUGCCGUCGAAUCGGGACAUGCGUCUAGCGGGCCCCUCCUCUCCCGCCUCGUCCCCUCUUCGGGUACGUGCCGCGCGGUCGGCGCCUCAUCCGCCCGCACGGUGGGAUGGAGGAGAUGCCGCAUGCUGCGCGCGCAUGCGCUGUGGGCAUAAUCGGCAUGUACUACGGGGCUCCUCUCUCGCUCAUCACUCGCGCUCCCUCCCUCUCUCUUGCUGCACCGAGAAG
rnacentral:misc_RNA from 1 species